AAGACAUGUAAGUUUAAGUUGUCAGAUGGUAUGACUAUUGUUGGUAAUUAUAAUGAUAAUUACAACUGUAUGUUUAGAAGAGAAAAUAGCAAUCAGGCCUUCCAUGAAUAUCCUUUUUGUUUUAAUUUUUUUUAAUGCAUAUUAUGCAUAAACAUAAUUGUUUCCAUGCAUAUUUAUGAGCUAUAGGCAAUUUAUGUUGAAAACAUUAUAUGAAAUUAAAAAAAGAACCAAAUUAACCAUUCAGUAACCUUCAGAAGAGAAUCACUCUUUGGCAGUGUUAAUAGCUGUGAAAAACUUUUAUCAUGUGAAGCAUGGCACCAUCAGCUAUGUUGAACAAAGUCUUAUGUAGCAUAAGAAAGAACUCGGUCAUACAUUUUCUGGAAAACAAAUUAUUAAAAGCUUGACUUUUAUUAAAACCCUAAUCUUGCAUUAGUUCUUGUAGCCGUGAAAAAUGCCUCAGUUCAAUUAUAUUUCAGUAGCUCAUAACAAUUAUAGAAGCAGUGGGCUGCUGUCUUCUUCUAUUUCUCUCACUAUCUUUUUGUGUUCUUUUUAAUUUUGUAUUUUAACUAUGAAAAUGUCCUCAUUUCAAAUUGUUGGUACCAUUGACUUCUUAUUUGAGAGGGAUUUUUUUUU
rnacentral:misc_RNA from 1 species